rnacentral:pre_miRNA from 1 species
GCCGUGGCCAUCUUACUGGGCAGCAUUGGAUGGUGUUUGAUCUCUAAUACUGCCUGGUAAUGAUGACGGC